GCCAGGCAUGGUGGUGCAUGCCUGUAGUCCCAGCUACUCCGGAGGCUGAGACAGGAGGAUGGCUUGAAUCCAGGAGUAGUGCGCUAUGCUGAUUAGGUGUAUGCACUAAGUUCGGCACCAAUAUAGUGACCUCCAGGGGAGGGACAGGGGCGGGGGAGGGGGCAGUUGCCUAAGGAGGGGUGAACUGGCCCAAGUCAGAAAUGGAGCUGGUCAAAGUUCCCAUGCUGACCAGUAGUGGGAUCGCGCCUGUGAAUAGCCACCGCACUCCAGCCUGGGCAACAUAGUGAGACCUCAUCUCUA
rfam:Otolemur garnettii contig051067, whole genome shotgun sequence.